CUUUUUGUUUUUAUCUGUUGUUGGUGUAAAUAAUUUGUUUAUCAUAUAUUUUUAUAUGCACUGUGACUAUCUUUUGCUCAUAAUAAACAUUCAUUUAUUAAGUUUUGCCUUUGUCUGGUUAAGAAUCAUGUUACCUGAAGAGACUAGUUAGUAUUUUUAUAAUUCCUUAAAUAUUGUACUAAGUAAUAUUUGGUGGGUUUUAUUAUUGAUUUACCUGGGG